UAGUAAGUGUGUAAGAGCGUACGGUGGAUGCCUUGGCACCAGGAGCCGAUGAAGGACGUAGUAGGCUGCGAUAAGCCUCGGGGAGCUGUCAAACGAGCUGAGAUCCGAGGAUUUCCGAAUGGGGAAACCCGGCACGAGUGAUGUCGUGUCACCCGCACCUGAAUAUAUAGGGUGUGUGGAGGGAACGUGGGGAAGUGAAACAUCUCAGUACCCACAGGAAGAGAAAACAACAUGUGAUUCCGUGAGUAGUGGCGAGCGAAAGCGGAAGAGGCUAAACCGGUUAUGUGUGAUAGACGGCAGUCGUUGCAUAGCCGGGGUCGUGGGACCCAUCUUCUCAGUUCUGCCGAGCUGGGCAUGAGUUAGAAACCAAGUUGUUAGUCGAAUUGGUCUGGGACGGCCAACCGUAGACGGUGAGAGUCCGGUAGACGAAAACAUCCUGGCUCAUGUGAUGGGC
rnacentral:ncRNA from 1 species